rnacentral:tRNA from 1 species
GAGGGUAUAGCUCAGUGGUAGAGCAUGCGCUUAGCAUGCACAAGGUCCUGGGUUCAAUCCCCAGUCCCUCCA